rnacentral:rRNA from 1 species
UACGUAGGGUGCAAGCGUUAAUCGGAAUUACUGGGCGUAAAGCGUGCGCAGGCGGUUUUGUAAGUCUGUCGUGAAAUCCCCGGGCUCAACCUGGGAACUGCAUUUGUGACUGCACGGCUAGAGUGCGGCAGAGGGGGAUGGAAUUCCGCGUGUAGCAGUGAAAUGCGUAGAUAUGCGGAGGAACACCGAUGGCGAAGGCAAUCCCCUGGGCCUGCACUGACGCUCAUGCACGAAAGCGUGGGGAGCAAACAGG